rnacentral:rRNA from 1 species
UACGGAGGGGGCGAGCGUUAUUCGGAAUUAUUGGGCGUAAAGGGCGCGUAGGCGGCUUCAUAAGUCAAAGGUGAAAUCCCUCGGCUCAACUGAGGAACUGCCUUUGAAACUGUGGAGCUUGAGGCCGGGAGGGGGUAGCGGAAUUCCCAGUGUAGCGGUGAAAUGCGUAGAUAUUGGGAGGAACACCAGUGGCGAAGGCGGCUACCUGGACCGGAACUGACGCUGAGGCGCGAAAGCGUGGGGAGCAAACAGG